GAGUUUGAUCCUGGCUCAGGACGAACGCUGGCGGCGUGCUUAACACAUGCAAGUCGAACGAUGAAGGGGAGCUUGCUCCUUGGAUUAGUGGCGAACGGGUGAGUAACACGUGAGUAACCUGCCCUUGACUCUGGGAUAAGCGUUGGAAACGACGUCUAAUACCGGAUAUGACCUGUGACGGCAUCGUCUGCAGGUGGAAAGAAUUUUGGUCAAGGAUGGACUCGCGGCCUAUCAGGUAGUUGGUGAGGUAACGGCUCACCAAGCCGACGACGGGUAGCCGGCCUGAGAGGGUGACCGGCCACACUGGGACUGAGACACGGCCCAGACUCCUACGGGAGGCAGCAGUGGGGAAUAUUGCACAAUGGGCGAAAGCCUGAUGCAGCAACGCCGCGUGAGGGACGACGGCCUCGGUUGUAA
rnacentral:rRNA from 1 species